GAGUUUGAUCCUGGCUCAGGACGAACGCUGGCGGCGUGCUUAACACAUGCAAGUCGAACGGUGAAGCCCUUCGGGGUGGAUCAGUGGCGAACGGGUGAGUAACACGUGAGCAACCUGCCCCUGGCUCUGGGAUAACCAUCGGAAACGGUGGCUAAUACUGGAUACGACCCACGAUCGCAUGGUGUGUGGGUGGAAAGUUUUUCGGCUGGGGAUGGGCUCGCGGCCUAUCAGCUUGUUGGUGGGGUGAUGGCCUACCAAGGCGACGACGGGUAGCCGGUCUGAGAGGGCGAUCGGCCACACUGGGACUGAGACACGGCCCAGACUCCUACGGGAGGCAGCAGUGGGGAAUAUUGCGCAAUGGGCGGAAGCCUGACGCAGCGACGCCGCGUGAGGGAUGACGGCCUCGGUGUAACGUACUUCUAGCAGGAAGAAGACGAAAGUAGACGGUACCGUGCAGAAGAAGAC
rnacentral:rRNA from 1 species